AUUGAACGCUGGCGGCAUGCCUUACACAUGCAAAUCGAAUGGUAACGGGCCUUCGGGUGCCGACGAGUGGCGAACGGGUGAGUAAUACAUCGGAACGUGCCCGAUCGUGGGGGAUAACGAGGCGAAAGCUUUGCUAAUACCGCAUACGAUCUACGGAUGAAAGCAGGGGACCGCAAGGCCUUGCGCGGACGGAGCGGCCGAUGGCAGAUUAGGUAGUUGGUGGGAUAAAAGCUUACCAAGCCGACGAUCUGUAGCUGGUCUGAGAGGAUGAUCAGCCACACUGGGACUGAGACACGGCCCAGACUCCUACGGGAGGCAGCAGUGGGGAAUUUUGGACAAAGGGCGCAAGCCUGAUCCAGCCAUGCCGCGUGCAGGAUGAAGGCCUUCGGGUUGUAAACUGAUUUUGUACGGAACGAAAAGCCUUCUUUUAAUACAGGAGGGUCAUGACGGUACCGUAAGAAUAAGCACCGGCUAACUACGUG
rnacentral:rRNA from 1 species